rnacentral:lncRNA from 1 species
UCAUUAUCAUCUUGCUUAGAGGCUAGUCAUGUGCUUAGUGAGAGAAGAGAGAGGGACAUGAGAGGGUGAUUGCUCUUUUCUCUUGAUUUCUUCAUCUUUAGUGGGUGGAUGAAGGGAGGAGGCUAGUCCUCAUCUUGUAAAGAAGAUAUUCUCGUGAUUUAGCUUUGAUUGUUGUCUCAAAUCGUGCUAAAUCUUUGAUUCCCGAGCGUUUUUCUUUUUCGCUAUUUUUUCGAAGUCAUUUUUGGGAAUUUUCGUUCUUCGUGUUUGAGCCCGAAUCCUGUGAGAAUGUUUGAGCCCGAAUUUUGUGAGAAUGGUUAAGAGGAAAUGUUGCUAGAACCAUAGGGAGUAUCUUUAAUAUGAUCCCCUCCAAAUCUCUCACGAAUUCGGUUUGAUUUUGAGUUUUUUCCAAAUCGUGUUGUUUGAGUUAUGGUUUCGGUUUUCUCCAAGAUUAGUGAUGAAUACUUGAGCUUUUCAGGAU